rnacentral:rRNA from 1 species
GAGGAAGGAGAAGUCGUAACAAGAAUGCCGCAGAGGAACCUGCGGAAGGAUCAUUG